GGACAGUCUUCCAGCUGAUGGCCAAACUUAAGUCACACUGCAUUAUUUCCUCCUCAUGCAGCAAUUCAUAUUGUUACUCCUAUAACCAGAGAAAAGUUGAAAUAUUCCUCGAUAUUAAAACAAAGACAAGAUGUAAAUAAUAACAACGCAAGCUUAUUCUAAACACUUUCCUAUUCUCAUUAAUUUCUUACUGCAGUCCUUUUUUUGUAGUGUCAGUGGAAGUAGGGAGAAUGUGCAUUUCAUGGCUUAUAAAAGUGUUGACAGUGCAGAAUAACAAAUUUAAACAUGAACUUUGCUCUAUUCGUUGAGUCUCUCUCCAGUCACGGUUUAAAAAAGGUUUGGAAUCUCACGGUAUCAACUUUGCUGUGUGCUAGAUGUUUCUUUUUACAGCCAAUGGCUCGAGGAAACUGUGCAGACACGGUGAUUUGAGCUAUCUGAUUGGCCAGUGUUAGUGCCUAUAGGUGCACUUGAUUUUCUCUCUGGGCGGAAUUCUACCUUCAGAAACAUGAAAUGGUUCAUGUGUCUGUCCCGGCACUAGGGAUUUCCGAAUCAAGUGCACCUACCACUAACAGCGCUAAAUGAAGGGAUGCGGAAUCAAGUGCACCUACCACUAACAGUGCUAAAUGAAGAGAUGCUGAAUCAAGUGCACCUACCACUAACAGCGCUAAAUGAAGGGAUGCUGAAUCAAGUGCACCUACCGCUAACAGCGCUAAAUGAUCACGUUUUACAGAAGUGUGAUCGACUACUAAUGCCUUGGAGAUCGACUACUAAUGCCUUGGAGAUCGACUACUAAUGCCUUGGAGGUCGACAACUAAUGCCUUGGAGAUCGACUACUAAUGCCUUGGAGAUCGACUACUAAUGCCUUGGAGAUCGACUACUAAUGCCUUGGAGGUCGACUACUAAUGCCUUGGAGAUCGACUACUAAUGCCUUGGAGAUCGAC
rnacentral:lncRNA from 1 species